rnacentral:rRNA from 1 species
GACGAACGCUGGCGGCGUGCUUAACACAUGCAAGUCGAACGGAGCACCCUUGACUGAGGUUUCGGCCAAAUGAUAGGAAUGCUUAGUGGCGGACUGGUGAGUAACGCGUGAGGAACCUGCCUUCCAGAGGGGGACAACAGUUGGAAACGACUGCUAAUACCGCAUGACGCAUGACCGGGGCAUCCCGGGCAUGUCAAAGAUUUUAUCGCUGGAAGAUGGCCUCGCGUCUGAUUAGCUAGAUGGUGGGGUAACGGCCCACCAUGGCGACGAUCAGUAGCCGGACUGAGAGGUUGACCGGCCACAUUGGGACUGAGAUACGGCCCAGACUCCUACGGGAGGCAGCAGUGGGGAAUAUUGGGCAAUGGACGCAAGUCUGACCCAGCAACGCCGCGUGAA